GAUGAACGCUGGCGGCGUGCCUAAUACAUGCAAGUCGAGCGAACGGACGAGAAGCUUGCUCCUCUGAUGUUAGCGGCGGACGGGUGAGUAACACGUGGAUAACCUACCUAUAAGACUGGGAUAACUUCGGGAAACCGGAGCUAAUACCGGAUGAUAUUUUGAACCGCAUGGUUCAAUAGUGAAAGACGGUUUUGCUGUCACUUAUAGAUGGAUCCGCGCUGCAUUAGCUAGUUGGUAAGGUAACGGCUUACCAAGGCAACGAUGCAUAGCCGACCUGAGAGGGUGAUCGGCCACACUGGAACUGAGACACGGUCCAGACUCCUACGGGAGGCAGCAGUAGGGAAUCUUCCGCAAUGGGCGAAAGCCUGACGGAGCAACGCCGCGUGAGUGAUGAAGGUCUUCGGAUCGUAAAACUCUGUUAUUAGGGAAGAACAUAUGUGUAAGUAACUGUGCACGUCUUGACGGUACCUAAUCAGAAAGCCACGGCUAACUACGUG
rnacentral:rRNA from 1 species